rnacentral:rRNA from 1 species
UACGUAGGUGGCGAGCGUUGUCCGGAAUUACUGGGCGUAAAGGGCGAGUAGGCGGUAACACAAGUCAGAUGUGAAAGGCGAGGGCUCAACUCUCGGAUUGCAUUUGAAACUGUGUAACUUGAGUGCGGUAGAGGAAGACAGAAUUCCUGGUGUAGCGGUGGAAUGCGCAGAGAUCAGGAGGAAUACCGAAGGCGAAGGCAGUCUUCCAAGCCGUUAUUGACGCUCAACUGCGAAGGUGUGGGUAUCAAACAGGAUUAGAUACCCG